rnacentral:rRNA from 1 species
AGCAGCCGCGGUAAUUCCAGCUCCAAUAGCGUAUAUUAAAGUUGUUGCAGUUAAAAAGCUCGUAGUUGAACUUCGGGAUUCACCCAUUGGUCAGGCUUAAUUGUCUGUACUGGUGAGAUGAGUCUCUACCUUCUGAGGAACUUUCAUGCCAUUUGUUUGGUGUGGUUGGAAAUCAGGACUGUUACUUUGAAAAAAUUAAAGUGUUUAAAGCAGGCUAACGUCUGAAUACAUUAGCAUGGAAUAAUGAAAUAGGACGGAUUGAUUCUAUUUCGUUGGUUUCUAGGGUCACCGUAAUGAUUAAUAGGGAUAGUUGGGGGCAUUAGUAUUCAAUUGUCAGAGGUGAAAUUCUUGGAUUUAUUGAAGACUAACUACUGCGAAAGCAUUUGCCAAGGAUGUUUUCAUUAAUCAAGAACGAAAGUUAGGGGAUCGAAGACGAUCAGAUACCGUCGUAGUCUUAACCAUAAACUAUGCCGACUAGGGAUCGGACGCAGUUAAUUUUAUAAUGACGU